CCAGACUCCUACGGGAGGCAGCAGUGGGGAAUAUUGCACAAUGGGGGAAACCCUGAUGCAGCGACGCCGCGUGAGCGAUGAAGUAUUUCGGUAUGUAAAGCUCUAUCAGCAGGGAAGAAGAUGACGGUACCUGACUAAGAAGCCCCGGCUAACUACGUGCCAGCAGCCGCGGUAAUACGUAGGGGGCAAGCGUUAUCCGGAUUUACUGGGUGUAAAGGGGGCGCAGACGGCAGCGCAAGCCAGGAGUGAAAGCCCGGGGCCCAACCCCGGGACUGCUCUUGGAACUGCGCGGCUGGAGUGCAGGAGGGGCAGGCGGAAUUCCUGGUGUAGCGGUGAAAUGCGUAGAUAUCAGGAGGAACACCGGCGGCGAAGGCGGCCUGCUGGACCGUGACUGACGUUGAGGCUCGAGAGCGUGGGGAGCAAACAGGAUUAGAUACCCGCGUA
rnacentral:rRNA from 1 species